rnacentral:lncRNA from 1 species
GAAUCUCUUCCAACUCCAAGUUUGGUCGCCUCUACUCUCGAUCUUCAAAAGGUAAGAGUCGAUCUCUAGCUUAUGUUAUGUUUUAAGUAAGUUUUAUGAAGUUCAUGGGGGUAGAAUGCAUGUUUAGUUCAUAGUUAGGUUUAUGGGUUUUAUAUGUGUUUUUGAGCAAUGUGAGUUGCUUGUGUGUUGUAGUUGGGGUUUUUGUUGGUUUGAUGCCCCUAGGAGCUUGUAUGUUUGCUUGUGAAUGCUUGGGAUUGUUGUAGAAUAGGUUUAUGCAUGAUUGGAUGAUUUUGGAGGCAUAAAUGCAUAAGGGAGCCAAGUUUCUGCCCUUUGGCAGAAACCAGGUUCGGCAGCCGAAGGAACUUUCGGCCGCCGAACAUGGCUGGGGAGGCAGGCCUUUCG